rnacentral:misc_RNA from 1 species
CUCCGCCAUAUUGCCCGGCCGCGUGGUGUUAUCGGUUGUGCGCUUAGAGCGGGGUUUUACCUGUGUUUACGGCUUAUCACCUUAUCUUAUAUGGCCAGAAAUAUCUUUGUUGGUGUCUAGUUCUUUCUGUGUCAUUCAUAUAUCCGUCGUUUCUUGGUUUCCGCUACAAAUCACAAAAUGUCUUUCGGCGGGCGGCCUCCCCCGGCCAUCGAGCGUAUGGUUUCAUUGAAAGUGGACAAUAUCACAUACCGCACCAGGCCAGAAGAUAUGCGAAGAGUGUUUGAAAAGUAUGGUGAAAUCGGGGACAUUUACAUUCCAAGGGACAGGUACAAUAAGGAGAGCAGAGGCUUUGCUUUUGUGAGGUACUACGACCGGCGGGAUGCCGAGGACGCGAUGGACGCGAUGGAUGGCCGCAUGUACGACGGCAGGGAACUGCGCGUCCAGAUGGCCCGCUACGCCCGGCCCAUGACACCGCCCGACCGCCGCUACGGCGGACGCUACGCCGGCAGCGGCGGCGGCGGCGGUGGUGGCGGCGGCCGGCGCCGCACGCGCUCUCGGUCCCGCUCGCGCAGCCGGGACCGCCGCUCGCGCAGCCGCAGUCGCGGACGACGCUCGCGGUCUCGCUCUCGCAGCCGCUCGCGCAGCCGUGAGCGUCGCACCCGCAGCCGCACGCGCUCCCACAGCAGGUCUCCGCGCGACAGCAAGUCCCCGGACCGCCGGAAGGCGCCCGAGGAGCACGAGGGAGGAGCUGAGCCGGUCCAGGACAACGGCGCCGAGAUGGAGCAGCGCGGCGGCUCCCGCUCCCGGUCACGCUCCCGCUCCCGGGGAGGAUCGCGCUCCCGGUCCCGCUCCCACUCCAGGGAGUAACUGGUGCGGCGGCUGACCGGACGGAGAGAAGGUGGAAGAGGUGGCCGUCACCGAGCGGCCGCGGCGGCCGAGUGUACCGGGCCGGCCUGCCCGCCGCCGCAGCCGACCGCCCGCUCUAGACGGGCCGCGGCAGCCGCGCCCUGCUGCGCUGCCGUCUGUCGCCCGUUUGAGAGCUGUCCUGUGAGCCGCGAGAGAGCUGUCCUGAGCUGAGCCGAGCGGUGGGGGAGAGAGCUGAGCGAGCUGAUCACGGCUGCGGUCCCGGUGGCGGCCAGCUAUCCCGAGACACUGAGCCCGAGCCACCGAGAUGCGAGCAGAGCAGUCAUCUCCUGAGAGAGCGGUCUGCGCCAGAGAGCAGAGCAGAGAGCAGCCUUAUCCUGAGAUAGCAGAGUGGCACCUGAGAGCAGAGCGGUCAACUCCUGAGGGAGCAGAGCUGAGAGCAGUCAGCGUCCGCCGAGAGCAGAAAGCCGAGCCGGCGGCGGGGAGGGUGGCGGAGCCCGGAGCAGCUGCUGUGGCGGAGACCUGCGCAGCAGAGCAGACUGUUCCGGUCAGCGGCGGCGGUCCUGUGUCGGCGCUGCACCUGAGGGCGCACAGAGGGUGACGCUGUACCCCUCGGUGCCACUGCCCGCUCUAAAGCAGUGCAGGGCUCUCCCCUGGCGCUGGUGUGGAACCGGUAGGGGUGGCGGGGUGUGACCUUGUGCCACUCCCUGUGCGUCCUGUCUUCUGGGCAUUGGGAUGCAUUUCAAUUUGAGGCAAAUUGCAGACAACCCCGUAGGCAAAAAAUUGAAUAAGUCGGGGGGGGGGGGGGGUCGCCAUUUCGUUUGAAAUAAUCGCAGGUGUCUGUAGCUCCUAGGGGAAUAGGCAGCUCAAGUCGCCCCAUCCCAUCCCCACUCCGUUUUGGUUUUGCUGGAAGGGACCCUUUUUACGGGCUUCAAUAGAAAUAAAAAUUGGGUGAAUGCAAAUCUGCCAGAUAAAUAUCCCGACUCUUGAACAUUUUUGGAUAUUUUAAGAGCUGGGCUGUUUGAGGGAGGAAUGGGUACAUAAAUCUGACUUGCUUAUCCUCCCUUUUUAGCAUCUAAUUUCUGGUUUUGUUCCUCUCUCAGUCGAUAAUCAGGACUUGGACACAACCAUGUUCCGACCAACCCCUGCCUGGGGACCUAUCCCUUUCAAGGGCUAAUGGCUACAGUUUGGGGCCCGGGUCGUCUGUCGGGGUGGUCCGGGCCUGUCGAUCCUGAGAAGCCGAGAGCAGCAGCCGCCGUGCGGAGGUUCCAGCAAACGUAGCCGGUUCCCGAGCCACGUAAGACCGCUGAACAAACGCCUGCUCGACGCGUCAUCUAGCUAGUCUAGAUUUUUAACGCGAGUCCUUGUUUUCUGUAUUCGUUUAAAUAACGCUCCGUUUCUAUUCGGCGAACAAAGAGACUAACGCGUUUCAGUAUGCUGUAGGUAAUCACUAUUUCUAAAAGAUCAAAUGAUUACGCGUUGCGCGAGCUCUAAGCACAUGGCAGUUGGAUCAUGGAUGAUGAGUACAGUUAUCACUUAAGCUCAUUCCGAAGGUUGCUCGAACGCGAUCAGGUAGCCAAGUAUCUGUCGCGGUACCACCGAUUCGGGUUACGAUAACCUCCCACGUUUUACAGGAACUGACGAGCAGACCAGCUGUCGCGGUCUCCUCUUCCAGCCUCUGACUUUCUGGCUUGGACGAGCUAACCACUGACCGGCCGGGAAUGACGAGAAGGCCGUUAUGUUUGUCGUUUUACGUUUGGUUGCCUUUUAGUUUUCGAUUCCUGACAAUAUUCGCGUUUCCUUUCAAAAGCACGUUGCAUGACGCGGGCAUGAUUGUUCUCCUUUUUCUUUUGACGUCUGCGACGAUAUUUUUGUUUUUACCUCAUUUAUUUCUUUUACGAUUCGAAUAGCAACUAAUGCAUUUUCCAGGCAGCGUGACUGACAUACAACCCUCGAGUUCAGUCUGUCACCCUCUUGUGUUUUGCCUCAGCUCAGGCCGGCAGUCGGCGCACCAUGGAGCAGGCCCGCUCGAGUGGUCUGACCACCACCUUGCAGCAAGCCCUCUGUAUGUCUUCCCUUCCCCGACGAGAACAGGCGAUGGCGGGACUGACACCAGCCGGGCAGGCGGGGCCAUCUGCUAGUGCGGACGGUGGUGACGCCUGGGACCAGCGGAGCAGACUGGUUGCGGACACCAGCGGAGCGGAGCCGGCACAGAUGCCAGCGGAUCAGCGCUGUUAGGGGAACCUGGAUCUGGCAAUCAAACAAGCGAAGCAGUUGGCCAAUGAAAGCGCAGAGCAGGGUCCCUUGCUUAGCCCAGCGGAAGCGGAACAGAUACGGCACAGGUAACCAGCCCAGCAGGAUAGGGUACCGAGAUAGUUGGCGAAGUGCCGCUUCUCACGUGCGAGUCCUCUGUGCGACACCCCAUCUUGAACAGGUGGACAUCGCUUCGGGUAUCUUCGCACAGUAGAGCCGUUACGAGAUGGGGGAAGACCACAAGCUGCUUGCCUGUCUGCCGUGGCGUGGGCGCCCUCGCGACCGGCAGCGCUCUCCCGUCGUCGGCCUAGGGAUCGUCGGGGAUCGUCAACGUCUGUGCUUCUGGCAUGAAUAAGUCGAUUCCUGCCCAUCAUCCGUUGGCGUUAGACCCAGCACUGAUGCUGUGAUCUCCGUGACUGCACAGCCGCCGUCCCAAAGACGUUCCCGAGCUCCCGUCUAUGUGACGGCGCAGCGCUGUUGUGAUUCGAUGCAUCAGCUGAUGAUUACGGUGACCAAAAUCUACCUAAGAUAACCGCGACUUUGCCCUGGUGUGGCGUUCAGUUUUGUGUUGGGAGGGACAGCGUCGCGUUCCGACAGCCAUCAUAGGAAACUGAUCUGUAGUAGGCUGGACAUACCCUUGGCUGGACUGCCUGUUUCAAUGACGCUUUCUCAAAGACGUUUCAGUCAUUUUGGAUAUUGGUGUCAAUCGUAUUGGCACGCCGCACGUUGCUUUCAGUGGAUAAACUGAAUCGUUUUCUGUCCUGUUCAUAUUAACC